UAACUUCUUUCAAGCUAUAAUUUAAUAAUAUGCCAUAAGUACAGAUCAUGAGGACAAGCCAUCUAUAGAGUUUGACUUGAGGAAAACUUAUUUUUAGUUUACAUCAUAUUUUUUUACUUUCUAGUGUUUGCUCUCCUAUAUUAUGAUGAAAAACAUAACUCCAAAAACAUGUGUCUUUUAAGGCUUCAAGAGGGGACUGCCUUCCUUGAUCAACACAAAUACACUGCCAGCAUCUCCUCUGGAGAUCCUAAGCUCAUCAUCCAAGUAGGUUGUCAGCAGCCAUGAUUGUGCAUUGUUAUUGGAAAUAGGAAACUUAAUUGGUGGUUGACUUGAAAUGGACUUGGCCACCGAGGAAGCUGUGUCUUGGACUGAAGUAAUCAAGCCUUUGAAGGGGCUUAGAUCAAUCUUUUGUCCCAAGAAUUCAACGUUCUCAGGCAAUACGAUGGAAUCUGUCAACUGGGGUGUUCCAAUUAUGCCUUCUUCGAAUUUAAUCUGGACGCGUUUUGGACUUCUGACUUCGAAUUUGGCAUUGGUACUAAUGGAAGUUGUAGCUAAAGGUCCAGCAAAGACAACAGAGUUUUGGACAGUGAAACUCUCAGAAUCGAUAGUCUGUGAAAUCUCUUCAACUCGAACCAGAAGCAGAUUGCCCCGUGACAACAAGGGGAACAAACCCGAAAAAGAUGUGUACGCAAGAAUCCAUUUGCCGUUGAGAAGAGUCAAGGCUUCAGUAGGUGCUGGAUUAGGGUUCUUCGACUCAAGCUGUGUGAUGAGUUCAACGAUUUCCGCCCUAGUCUCACUGCUAGCACUCAAACCCCUAUUGGUUCCAUAAAAAGAAUCCGCCAAUUGCUUCUUCAGCAACUCAAUUUCACUUGGCUCCUUUGGUGGUUCUUCAUCCACAACCGCUACUCCACCCGGACUUAUUUUCUCCACUUCCGGCCCCCACUCAUCUUCCUUGUCGUAAUUUGUGGCUUGAGCUGUGAAUUUUGGUUUUGGGUAUGUGAAUUCUUUGACUGAAAUUGCUCUGUGUAGUUCUGUUUUUGAUGGGAAAUUCGU
rnacentral:misc_RNA from 1 species